rnacentral:rRNA from 1 species
CAGUCGCCGCGGUAAUACGAAGGGUGCAAGCGUUAAUCGGAAUUACUGGGCGUAAAGCGUGCGUAGGCGGUGAGUUAAGUCUGCUGUGAAAUCCCCGGGCUCAACCUGGGAAUGGCAGUGGAUACUGGCUCGCUAGAGUGUGUCAGAGGAUGGUGGAAUUCCCGGUGUAGCAGUGAAAUGCGUAGAGAUCGGAAGGAACAUCUGUGGCGAAGGCGACUAUCUGGGCCAACACUGACACUGAGGCACGAAAGCGUGGGGAGCAAACAGGAUUAGAUACCCCCGUAGUCCCUGUCUCUUAUAA